AUUCCAGCUCCAAUAGCGUAUAUUAAAGUUGUUGCGGUUAAAAAGCUCGUAGUUGGAUCUCGGCGGGCAGGGGGUGGUUCGCUCUUCAGCGCCACUGCCCCGCUUUGCCCGUGUGAUUGGCGGAGGUUUCGGGGUGCUCUUCGUUGAGUGACUCGGAGCGCCGUCAGGUUUACUUUGAAAAAAUUAGAGUGCUCAAAGCAGGCUUUUCACGCUUGAAUAUUCGUGCAUGGAAUAAUGGAAUAGGAACUCGUUUCUAUUUUGUUGGUUUUCGGAAAUUGAGUUAAUGAUUAACAGGGACAAUUGGGGGCAUUAGUAUUCAGACGACAGAGGUGAAAUUCUUGGACCGUCUGAAGACUGACUACUGCGAAAGCAUUUGCCAAGAGUGUUUUCAUCA
rnacentral:rRNA from 1 species